GCACUCUGACGUCUUGAAAGCUGGCAGCUCUCUGUUUAGAAAAUCUCUGCCCAGUGAAAAAAUGUACCGACAAGAUUACUAAGUAACACAGUCUUCUGGGAAUGCCUUAUCAAUGCCAGCUAUUUGAAGAGCACCCAAAGUCAAACUAGUGCUCCGCGCUGGCAGUCUGGAAAAGGCAGAUGUAUAAACCAAAAAGGAUGGAGUUCAGAGACCUUCCAUGUUGAUGAACAAGAACACAUUCACCUGCUGUAGGGGUAGGUGUACCCCAAAACUCCACUGAUACAGAAGCUUCUAUACUCAAGACCCUUCUAUACUCAAGACCCUGGAUCUUACCCUAUAUAUCUCUUCAUCUGGCUAUUUAUUUGCAUCUUUUAGUAUAUCCUUUGUAAUAAACUAGUAAUCUAGAAAGUAAACUUUUCCUAGCUCUGUAGGCCAUUCUAGUAAAUGAUUAAACCUGAGGAGGAGUUAUGGGAACCUUUGAUUUGUAGACAAGUUGGACAGAAGUGGUAUAUAUCCUAAUAUAACAUGGGAACCUGCCACUUAUGAUUGGCGUGUGAAAUUGGGGGAUGGGGAAGCAGUCUUGUGGGACUGAGCCCUUAGCCUGUGGGGUCUAAUGCUAUCUUCAGGUAAUAUCAGAACUGAGUUAAAUUAUAGGAUACCAGUCAGUGUCCAUUGGAGAAUUGAAUUAUUGUGAGGAAAAACCCACACAUUUGGUGGCUAAAAGUAUUGAUGUGAGUAGUAGCAUAUAGGAGUUUUUUGCUAUAUACAUAUGUAGUGUAAGUUUAAAGUAAAAAGUUUUGUAUUGUCAGGAGUGACUUCUUUGCACCUAAAUAUCACUGCUAUAACUGCGUUACUAAGGAAUAGUUGCUUGCUUUUAUGUAUUUGGCACCUGCAGCUACUGUUCUAAAAAGUUUGCAUGUGUUAACCUAUUAAUUAAAUCUACAAAUGACUGGCUGUACCCAUG
rnacentral:lncRNA from 1 species